AAGUCGUACAGGUCUCCGUAGGUGAACCUGCGGAGGGAUCAUUACACAAAUAUGAAGGCGGGCUGGAACCUCUCGGGGUUACAGCCUUGCUGAAUUAUUCACCCUUGUCUUUUGCGUACUUCUUGUUUCCUUGGUGGGUUCGCCCACCACUAGGACAAACAUAAACCUUUUGUAAUUGCAAUCAGCGUCAGUAACAAAUUAAUAAUUACAACUUUCAACAACGGAUCUCUUGGUUCUGGCAUCGAUGAAGAACGCAGCGAAAUGCGAUAAGUAGUGUGAAUUGCAGAAUUCAGUGAAUCAUCGAAUCUUUGAACGCACAUUGCGCCCUUUGGUAUUCCAAAGGGCAUGCCUGUUCGAGCGUCAUUUGUACCCUCAAGCUUUGCUUGGUGUUGGGCGUCUUGUCUCUAGCUUUGCUGGAGACUCGCCUUAAAGUAAUUGGCAGCCGGCCUACUGGUUUCGGAGCGCAGCACAAGUCGCGCUCUUUGCCAGCCAAGGUCAGCGUCCAGCAAGCCUUUUUCUCAACCUUUGACCUCGGAUCAGGUAGGGAUACCCGCUGAACUUAAGCAUAU
rnacentral:rRNA from 1 species